UACGAGGGGUCCUAGCGUUGUUCGGAAUCAUUGGGCGUAAAGCGUCUGUAGGCGGCUUUGUAAGUCGGGUGUGAAAGCCCCAGGCUCAACCUGGGAAGUGCACUCGAUACUGUCGAGCUAGAGUAUCGGAGAGGUUGGUGGAAUUCUCGGUGUAGAGGUGAAAUUCGUAGAUAUCGAGAGGAACACCGGUGGCGAAGGCGGCCAACUGGACGAAUACUGACGCUGAGACUCGAAAGCGUGGGGAGCAAACAGG
rnacentral:rRNA from 1 species